UACGUAGGGGCAAGCGUUGUCCGGAAUCAUUGGGCGUAAAGAGCGUGUAGGCGGCCUGAUAAGUCGGCUGUGAAAGUCAAGGGCUCAACCCUUGAAUGCCGGCCGAUACUGUCAGGCUAGAGUCCGGAAGAGGCGAGUGGAAUCCUGGUGUAGCGGUGAAAUGCGCAGAUAUCAGGAGGAACACCGAUGGCGAAGGCAGCUCGCUGGGACGGUACUGACGCUGAGGCGCGAAAGCGUGGGGAGCAAACAGG
rnacentral:rRNA from 1 species